rnacentral:tRNA from 1 species
CGGGUGUAGUUCAGUGGUAGAACACCAGCUUCCCAAGCUGGUUAUGCGGGUUCGAUUCCCGUCAUCCG